UACGGGGGGAGCAAGCGUUGUUCGGAUUUACUGGGCGUAAAGGGCGCGUAGGCGGUCGUGACAAGUCACUUGUGAAAUCUCCGGGCUUAACUCGGAACGGUCAAGUGAUACUGUCGGACUAGAGUACAGAAGGGGCAACUGGAAUUCUCGGUGUAGCGGUGAAAUGCGUAGAUAUCGAGAGGAACACCUGCGGCGAAGGCGGGUUGCUGGGCUGACACUGACGCUGAGGCGCGAAAGCCAGGGAGCGAACGGG
rnacentral:rRNA from 1 species